rnacentral:rRNA from 1 species
GCGGCGUGCCUAAUACAUGCAAGUCGAGCGCGCCCCUUCGGGGGCGAGCGGCGGACGGGUGAGUAACACGUGGAUAACCUGUCCAGAAGCCGGGGACUACCCCUGGAAACGGGGGUCAAUACCGGAUACGCCUUCCGGAUCGCAUGGUACGGAAGGGAAAGGUACCUUCGGGUGCCGCUUUUGGGUGGAUCCGCGGCGCAUUAGCUAGUUGGUGAGGUAAGGGCUCACCAAGGCGACGAUGCGUAGCCGGCUUGGGAGAGCGGACGGCCACACUGGGACUGAGACACGGCCCAGACUCCUACGGGAGGCAGCAGUAGGGAAUUUUCCGCAAUGGGCGAAAGCCUGACGGAGCGACGCCGCGUGGGUGAAGACGGCCUUCGGGUUGUAAAGCCCUGUUCAUCGGGAAGAAGAAAUGACGGUACCGGUGAAGAAAGCCCCGGCUAACUACGUGCCAGCAGCCGCGGUAAUACGUAGGGGACGAGCGUUGUCCGGGAUGAUUGGGCGUAAAGGGCGUGUAGGCGGAUGUAUAGGUCGGGCGUGAAAGGCACGGGCUCAACCCGUGUAAGCGUUCGAAACGGUGCAUCUUGAGUGCGGUAGAGGGAAGCG